rnacentral:rRNA from 1 species
UGGGGAAUAUUGGACAAUGGGCGAAAGCCUGAUCCAGCGACGCCGCGUGGGUGAAGAAGGCCUUCGGGUUGUAAAGCCCUUUAAGCCGGGACGAAAAAGCUACACCUAACACGUGUGGCCUUGACGGUACCGGAAGAAUAAGCACCGGCUAACUCUGUGCCAGCAGCCGCGGUAAUACAGAGGGUGCGAGCGUUAAUCGGAUUUACUGGGCGUAAAGCGUGUGUAGGUGGCUUCCUAAGUCGGUUGUGAAAUCCCUGGGCUCAACCUGGGAAUUGCAGUCGAUACUGGGAAGCUCGAGUUCGGUAGAGGACGGCGGAAUUCCCGGUGUAGCGGUGAAAUGCGUAGAUAUCGGGAGGAACAUCGAUGGCGAAAGCAACCGUCUGGGCCUGAACUGACACUGAGACACGAAAGCGUGGGGAGCAAACAGG